GAAUGACUCUCGGCAACGGAUAUCUCGGCUCUUGCAUCGAUGAAGAACGUAGCGAAAUGCGAUACUUGGUGUGAAUUGCAGAAUCCCGUGAACCAUCGAGUCUUUGAACGCAAGUUACGCCCGAAGCCAUUAGGCCGAGGGCACGCCUGCCUGGGUGUCACAC
rnacentral:rRNA from 1 species